AAGUCGUAACAAGGUUUCCGUAGGUCGCAAUAGGUUUGCCUACCGGGGCCUCGAGCCACGACGCGACAGAAAGGCUCCGCAGUCCGCCUAGUCUCUAGGCGGGCGACGCGUCCCAUCUGCCCUGGGAGCUUCGGCGACCAGCAGCCCCCCGAGGGGGGGUUCACAGAUCAGAUGUACGCGGCCACGCUCCAGUGGUACUGAUAUGACCGGCCUCGGGCUCUGGCGAGCCUGGGAAGAAAUUCGUGGAACCUGCGGAAGGAUCAUUACCGAGAGGGGCUCCGUGCCCCAGGUGGCUCCGGCCGCCGCAUCUCAACCCCGUGGCUACGUUCCGGAUCGCAAGAUCGGUACAAAGUACGUUGCUUCGGUGGGGGAAAGCCCCCGCCGGCCGCCCAACCAAACUCUUUUAUUGGUGCAGUCUGAGUACAAACCAUAAUAAAGAAAAACUUUCAACAACGGAUCUCUUGGUUCUG
rnacentral:misc_RNA from 1 species